CGUGAUACAGUUACCACUCCAUUGAUCAGCAGCUGAGAGUAAGAGAGAGAGGGUGUGUAUAGUGGGGAGAGGGGAGAGAGGAGAGAGAAGGUGAAGAGAGGUAAUUCAAAGAGAGAGAGAAUGUGCUAUUCACAAGGCUUUAAACAGGUUAGCCCCUCCUUCUGCUGGACACACCUCCCUUAGUCAAUCCCUUAGGAUGUAACAGAACCAGAGUGCCUCCUGGGGGAAGGGGGAUUGCAUUGGAAGGGAAUGGAGGAGGAGUUUAUCAACAAACCAACUGAU